rnacentral:rRNA from 1 species
AUACGGAGGGUCCAAGCGUUAUCCGGAUUCACUGGGCGUAAAGCGCGCGCAGGCGGUCUUUUAAGUUGGAUGUGAAAGCCUACGGCUCAACCGUAGAACUGCAUCCAAAACUAUUAGACUAGAGUGUGGGAGAGGAAGAUGGAAUUAGUUGUGUAGGGGUAAAAUCCGUAGAGAUAACUAGGAAUACCAAAAGCGAAGGCAAUCUUCUGGAACACUACUGACGCUGAGGCGCGAAAGCGUGGGGAGCAAACAGGAUUAGAAACCCCAGUAGUCC